rnacentral:rRNA from 1 species
UACAGAGGGUGCGAGCGUUAAUCGGAAUUACUGGGCGUAAAGCGCGCGUAGGCGGCUUUGCAAGUCGGGUGUGAAAUCCCCAGGCUUAACCUGGGAACUGCAUUCGAGACUGCAUUGCUAGAGUAUGGGAGAGGGAAGUGGAAUUUCCGGUGUAGCGGUGAAAUGCGUAGAUAUCGGAAGGAGCAUCAGUGGCGAAAGCGACUUCCUGGACCAAUACUGACGCUCAUGUGCGAAAGCGUGGGGAGCAAACAGG